UUUGGCACCUCGAUGUCGGCUCAUCUCAUCCUGGGGCUGUAGCCGGUCCCAAGGGUAUGGCUGUUCGCCAUUUAAAGAGGUACGUGAGCUGGGUUUAAAACGUCGUGAGACAGUUUGGUCCCUAUCUUCCGUGGGCGCUGCAGAUUUGAGGAAGCCUGCUCCUAGUACGAGAGGACCGGAGUGGACACACCUCUGGUGUAUCGGUUGUCACGCCAGUGGCAUUGCCGAGUAGCUAUGUGUGGAAGAGAUAACCGCUGAAAGCAUCUAAGCGGGAAACUCGUUUCAAGAUGAGAUCUGCCGGGGCCUCGAGCCCCCUAAAGAGUCGUUCAAGACCAGGACGUUGAUAGGUCAGGUGUGGAAGCGCAGUAAUGCGUUAAGCUAACUGAUACUAAUUGCUCGUGCGGCUUGACCCUAUAACUUUG
rnacentral:rRNA from 1 species